CGCACAUUGCGCCCGCCAGUACUCUGGCGGGCAUGCCUGUUCGAGCGUCAUUUCAACCCUCAAGCCCCCGGGCUUGGUGUUGGGGACCAGCCGACCCGGCGAGCGCUCCGGCGCCCGCCUGGCUGCCCCCGAAAUACAGUGGCGGUCACGCCGCAGCAUCCCCUGCGUAGUAGCACACCUCGCACCGGAAUCGCAGCGCGACCACGCCGUAAAACCCCCACUUCUGAAGGUUGACCUCGGAUCAGGUAGGAAUACCCGCUGAACUUAA
rnacentral:misc_RNA from 1 species